AUUGAACGCUGGCGGCAUGCCUUACACAUGCAAGUCGAACGGUAACAGGUUAAGCUGACGAGUGGCGAACGGGUGAGUAAUAUAUCGGAACGUGCCCAGUCGUGGGGGAUAACUGCUCGAAAGAGCAGCUAAUACCGCAUACGACCUGAGGGUGAAAGCGGGGGAUCGCAAGACCUCGCGCGAUUGGAGCGGCCGAUAUCAGAUUAGGUAGUUGGUGGGGUAAAAGCCCACCAAGCCAACGAUCGGUAGCUGGUCUGAGAGGACGACCAGCCACACUGGGACUGAGACACGGCCCAGACUCCUACGGGAGGCAGCAGUGGGGAAUUUUGGACAAUGGACGCAAGUCUGGUCCAGCCAUGCCGCGUGCGGGAAGAAGGCCUUCGGGUUGUAAACCGCUUUUGUCAGGGAAGAAAAGGUUCUGGCUAAUACCUGGGACUCAUGACGGUACCUGAAGAAUAAGCACCGGCUAACUACGUGCCAGCCGCCGCCGUAAAAC
rnacentral:rRNA from 1 species